GGGGUGUAUUAAAGAAAGAGACAGAGAGAGCGAGGGGGGUAUUAAAGAGAGAGACAGAGAGAGAGCCAGGGGGUAUUAAAGAGAGAGACAGAGAGAGAGCGAGGGGGGUAUUAAAGAGAGAUACAGAGAGAGAGCCAGGGGGGUAUUAAAGAGAGAGACAGAGAGAGAGCCAGGGGGUAAUAAAGAGAGAGACAGAGAGAGAGCCAGGGGGGGUAUUAAAGAGAGAGACAGAGAGAGAGACAGGGGAGGUAUUAAAGAGAGAGACAGAGAGAGAGACAGGGGGUAUUAAAGAGAGAGACAGAGAGAGAAAGCCAGGGGGUGUUAAAGAGAGAGAUGGAGAGAGAGAGAUAGGGGAGGUAUUAAAGAGAGAGACAGAGAGAGAGACAGGGGGUAGUAAAGAGAGAGACAGAGAGAGAGCGAGGGGGUAUUAAAGAGAGAGACAGAGAGAGAGCCGGGGGGGGUAAUAAAGAGAGAGACAGAGAGAGAGCGAGGGGGUAUUAAAGAGAGAGACAGAGAGAGAAAGCCAGGGGGUGUAUUAAAGAGAGAGACAGAGAGAGAGCGAGGGGGUGUUAAAGAGAGAGACAGAGAGAGAGCCAGGGGGGUAUUAAAGAGAGAGACAGAGAGAGAGUGAGGGGGUGUUAAAGAGAGAGACAGAGAGAGAGAGCCAGGGGG
ensembl:lncRNA